rnacentral:lncRNA from 1 species
AACUCUAGGUGACUCUAGGUUUAUCCAAUUAGGUCUUCAUCCUCAUCAAAUUAAGAAUAUAAUUAGCUCAAUUAAAUCAUAAUCCAAUCAGAAAUUAAUCAAGCCCAAGUCUUGACCAAAUCAGAAAUCGAACACCCUUAAUGAUUAGGUCAUCUCAUAACCUAAUAAGGUCAAACCUAAUUGAAUUUAAUUCAAUUAGACUUGAUCCAAAUCUUGUUGCUCAAUCUAAUUGAGUUAAUCAGUAAUCUAAUUACUAAUUAAUCCUUUUAUAAUUCACUAACCAUUAGCAAAUUAAUUUAUCAUAAUUUUUGUAUAAGGUUAAUCAUCAAUCAAAUUGACAAUUAUAUCCUUGAACAAUUCUCAAUCGUUGGUCAGCCACUUGAUCGGUUAGAAACUUCUUAUGAGUAUGAUCUCAUAGGUUCGAACCUAAGCUCAUAGCACAUGAAUAAAUUUUUGUACUAAUCGAAAUGACCAUCUAGUAAUGAUAUCCGACAUCCAGAUAGGUUUUAUGAUUUCAAAGCAAUAUUCAAGAAUCCUAGACUAUGGUUACCGCAUAAUUCAUCCCGUU